rnacentral:rRNA from 1 species
GACGAACGCUGGCGGCGUGCUUAACACAUGCAAGUCGAACGGAGUGGCGAACGGGUGAGUAACACGUGGGUGACCUGCCCUGCACUUCGGGAUAAGCCUGGGAAACUGGGUCUAAUACCGGAUAGUGUGGGAUGGGGCCGGGGCCUAUCAGCUUGUUGGUGGUGUAAUGGCCUACCAAGGGGGCGACGGGUAGCCGGCCUGAGGGGGUGGACGGCCACAUUGGGACAGGGACACGGCCCAGACUGCUACGGGAGGCAGCAGUGGGGAAUAGUGCACAAUGGGCGGAAGCCGGAAGCAGCGACGCCGCGUGGGGGAUGACGGUCUUCGGGUUGUAAACUCCUUUCACCAUAGACGCGGUAGAUGGAGAAGAAGCACCGGCUAACUACGUGCCAGCAGCCGCGGUAAUUC